GGGGGUGAAAUUGGUUUCGACGGUGUCGAAGUGACAGUAAACUGCGUAUCGUGCUUCCGAAGUGCACGUUAAAAAGUCGGGAAAAAAUAGUAGACAACUAUAAUUACGCUUUAGCUGCCUAAUUUUACGCAGCUACGUUUCAUAAUUUUCUCGUCUGUCAGAAUUUUAUGAAACGACGUAUACGGCAGACUCGUCUCGAACUUCAUCUGUGAGGGAGAGAUUAAAUUUUAACAGAUUAGUUUAAGAAAAUCCUUUCUGUUGGAGCUUCUUAGGUGAAUCAAAAAAGCAGAAUACGUAUGUAGACGUUUAUUGGAGCUCUUCAUCGGACCGGGGUUCGACUCCCCGCACCUCCACAA
rnacentral:tmRNA from 1 species